rnacentral:rRNA from 1 species
GCGCACCAGGCGCGAAACUUCCCCAAUGGACGAAAGUCUGAGGGAGCGACGCCGCGUGAAUGAAGAAGCCCUUCGGGGUGUAAAAUUCUUUUCUUUAGGAAAAAUUCGUGAUGGUACUAGAGGAAUAAGGGGCCGCCAAACUCGUGCCAGCAGCGGCGGUAAUACGAGUCGCCCCGAGUCGUUACGUACCGGUAAUUACGUGGGACGUAAAGCGAACGUAAAA